UAGUAAUCACAGGUCAGCAUACUGUGGUGAAUACGUUCCCGGGCCUUGUACACACCGCCCGUCACACCAUGAGAGUUGAGAAUACCCGAAGCCCAUGUCAAAGUGGUCGAAGGUAGGCUUGAUGAUUGGGGUGAAGUCGUAACAAGGUAGC
rnacentral:rRNA from 1 species